rnacentral:rRNA from 1 species
UGGGGAAUAUUGGGCAAUGGGGGCAACCCUGACCCAGCAACGCCGCGUGAAGGAAGAAGGCUUUCGGGUUGUAAACUUCUUUGACCAGGGACGAAAAGAAUGACGGUACCUGGAAAACAAGCCACGGCUAACUACGUGCCAGCAGCCGCGGUAAUACGUAGGUGGCAAGCGUUGUCCGGAUUUACUGGGUGUAAAGGGCGCGUAGGCGGGAUAGCAAGUCAGGAGUGAAAUCUAUGGGCUUAACCCAUAAACUGCUUUUGAAACUGUUAUUCUUGAGUAUCGGAGAGGCAGGCGGAAUUCCUAGUGUAGCGGUGAAAUGCGUAGAUAUUAGGAGGAACACCAGUGGCGAAGGCGGCCUGCUGGACGACAACUGACGCUGAGGCGCGAAAGCGUGGGGAGCAAACAGG